UACGGGGGGAGCAAGCGUUGUUCGGAUUUACUGGGCGUAAAGGGCGCGUAGGCGGCCAGCACAAGUCAGUUGUGAAAUCUCCGAGCUUAACUCGGAAAGGUCAACUGAUACUGUGCGGCUAGAGUGGCGGAAGGGGCAACUGGAAUUCUUGGUGUAGCGGUGAAAUGCGUAGAUAAUCAAGAGGAACACCUGCGGCGAAGGCGGGUUGCUGGGCCGACACUGACGCUGAGGCGCGAAAGCUAGGGGAGCGAACGGG
rnacentral:rRNA from 1 species